CACAUACUCCCUCCGUCCAACAAAAGACGUCUCAAGUUUGUUAAAAUUUGGAUUGAUCUAAACAUGACUUAGUGUACAUAUGCAUUGAAAUUUAGUGAAAGUUAAGACAUACUUUGCUGGACGGAGGGAGUACAAG
rnacentral:pre_miRNA from 1 species